UACGAAGGGUGCAAGCGUUACUCGGAAUUACUGGGCGUAAAGCGUGCGUAGGUGGUUUGUUAAGUCUGAUGUGAAAGCCCUGGGCUCAACCUGGGAACUGCAUUGGAAACUGGCUUACUAGAGUGCGGUAGAGGGGUGCGGAAUUCCCGGUGUAGCAGUGAAAUGCGUAGAUAUCGGGAGGAACAUCCGUGGCGAAGGCGGCACCCUGGACCAGCACUGACACUGAGGCACGAAGCGUGGGAGCAACAGG
rnacentral:rRNA from 1 species